UGCAUGUCUAAGUAUAAGCAAUUUAUACCGUGAAACUGCGAAUGGCUCAUUAAAUCAGUUAUCGUUUAUUUGAUAGUACCUUACUACUUGGAUAACCGUGGUAAUUCUAGAGCUAAUACAUGCUAAAAACCCCAACUUCGGGAGGGGUGUAUUUAUUAGAUAAAAAACCAAUGCCCUUCGGGGCUCUUUGGUGAUUCAUGAUAACUUAACGGAUCGCAUGGCCUUGCGCCGGCGACGGUUCAUUCAAAUUUCUGCCCUAUCAACUUUCGAUGGUAAGGUAUUGGCUUACCAUGGUUUCAACGGGUAACGGGGAAUUAGGGUUCGAUUCCGGAGAGGGAGCCUGAGAAACGGCUACCACAUCCAAGGAAGGCAGCAGGCGCGCAAAUUACCCAAUCCCGACACGGGGAGGUAGUGACAAUAAAUACUGAUACAGGGCUCUUUUGGGUCUUGUAAUCGGAAUGAGUACAAUUUAAACCCCUUAACGAGGAACAAUUGGAGGGCAAGUCUGGUGCCAGCAGCCGCGGUAAUUCCAGCUCCAAUAGCGUAUAUUAAAGUUGUUGCAGUUAAAAAGCUCGUAGUUGAACCUUGGGCCUGGCUGGCCGGUCCGCCUCACCGCGUGUACUGGUCCGGCCGGGCCUUUCCUUCUGGAGAGCCCCAUGCCCUUCACUGGGUGUGCGGGGGAACCAGGACUUUUACUUUGAAAAAAUUAGAGUGUUCAAAGCAGGCCUUUGCUCGAAUACGUUAGCAUGGAAUAAUAGAAUAGGACGUGCGGUCCUAUUUUGUUGGUUUCUAGGACCGCCGUAAUGAUUAAUAGGGACAGUC
rnacentral:rRNA from 1 species